rnacentral:lncRNA from 1 species
GGGGUAUCCCUUCGUGAGCCGUCCGAUCGAAACCGGUUGCAACUUUCGCCAGUCUAGACCCCAGGCGACAAUAUCUGCACCUGACCCAGCCACCGAGGACUUUCUUUGAUGCCAGGUACCCCCGGUUCUGAGGAGAUCAGAGUUCAGUGGAGCUGAUGUUUAUGUAUGAUCUGGACACUGUCAUCUUGCCAACUGCUGUUAUCACAAGGUUAUGCCUGAAUGGCUUUUUUGAGCCAACGCCUCUCUCAGUGACAUCAGGCUCUUAUAUGGUAAAUUUGCUUCUGUGGCCUGAGUCCAGAACACAUCCUAGUCUUCUCUGGAGAGAAGCAGAGUCAGGGGAAGGAAGAGAUUUUGUAAUGUGGACAGUGUUCAGUGUUCAUUGCUGA